rnacentral:rRNA from 1 species
GUGGGGAAUUUUGGACAAUGGGCGCAAGCCUGAUCCAGCAAUGCCGCGUGCAGGAAGAAGGCCUUCGGGUUGUAAACUGCUUUUGUACGGAACGAAAAGGCUCUGGUUAAUACCUGGGGCUCAUGACGGUACCGUAAGAAUAAGCACCGGCUAACUACGUGCCAGCAGCCGCGGUAAUACGUAGGGUGCAAGCGUUAAUCGGAAUUACUGGGCGUAAAGCGUGCGCAGGCGGUUUUGUAAGACAGACGUGAAAUCCCCGGGCUCAACCGGGGAAUGGCGUUUGUGACUGCAAAGCUGGAGUGCGGGAGAGGGGGAUGGAAUUCCGCGUGUAGCAGUGAAAUGCGUAGAUAUGCGGAGGAACACCGAUGGCGAAGGCAAUCCCCUGGGCCUGCACUGACGCUCAUGCACGAAAGCGUGGGGAGCAAACAGGAUUAGAUACCCCGGUAGUCC